UACGAGGGGGGCAGGCGUUAUUCAAUCAAACUGGGCGUAAAGCGUUUUUAGGUGGAAUAUUGAGAGCUAACGUCCAAAGUUCAAAAAUUAAUUUUGAAAUGUAUGUUAAGACCAAUUUUCUAGAGUUUAAGAGGGGUGAAUAGUAUUUCUUCAAUAGAGUUAAAAUUCUUAGAAAGAAGAAAGAGGACCAUCGGUGCAAACAAUUCAUCAGCUUUAACUGACACCAAAGGACUAAAGCUUGGGUCGCGAUCGGG
rnacentral:rRNA from 1 species